GGCUUGGUGGCGUAAUGGCAACGCGCUCCGUGUACCUAGCAUUUUUAUAUCGGCUAAUGGAAGGUUCGGAGUUCAAUUCUCCGUCAAGCCA